GUUUGUGAGAGAAAUUCAAAAACUUUCCCUCAUUUUUCCUUGUCGGCUCCGCAGGUGUUGACGGCUUUGGACUUGCGAACUUUCUUCCUGGCUCGUAAUUUGUUGCAGUUGGCUGAUACGUGCGCAGAGAAGAAAUGUUUCUAGCAGAGCGGAAAUUUGAUAGAUCGUUGCUAUUAUCGUAUAAUCGUAAGCGUAGCUUACCAAGGUGACUCCAACAGGCGGCGGAGGGAGUUUUAUCAUGUAGAGAUUAAUUAAACAGCGUCGGGGAGAGUACGCCGGCUUGACGGACCGGCGACGAGUCCAGAACGGGUGGCGAAUACCUCCGCCAGGUCAACUGCCACUAGGACCGAUCUAUCCCAAGGUCGACGUUUGUUCAGACUCUCGCUAAUCUGUGUAGGGAUGGUGUUCAAUUAUGUGGUGGUGAUGUGCAUUUUUCGGAAUCCACAUUGGUAUUGGCUAUCUUGAGGUGCUUCGUCAUGCUGAAAAUGAGUGGUACUUCCAAAGUUUUUUCCACUAGGGUUGUGAGGAAGGGAUAUGUCCGCUUUCUUCUCUGAUUUACAUACUUACAUACAUACAUGUUACAAGCACACGAACCUUCUUAAAAUAAACACAAUAGAUUACUUUA